UACCCGGAUAAAAAUUUACAGUAACUUGUAUGACAUAACCCAUUGAAAUACAAUAGAUUGUGUGGCAAACAAUACAAACUAUUGUACGCCUAUUGUAAAAUGUUCAUGGUUGUAAAAGAUCUUUAUUGUACGUCCAUUAAAAUUACAAUAUAUUUAAAUGUUACCGAUUCAUUCUAUUAUAUUUUUAUUGUUUGCUUAUGUUUAGUAUUGCUCAUCCAAAAACUAAACAAAUUUUAAAAGUAUUCGGUUUGGAUGAUCUGGAAAUCCGUCUAAUGUAAUUGUAUUAAUAUAAUUUUGGAAUAUUUCAUGGAUUUAUUAUAUUGAUGAAAUAACAAUUGAAAACAAUAAAAUUACAAUAGCUUUGCAAUUGAAUAAAAAUGUUAUACCGAUUCUCAAGUAUAUAUUUUCAUAUUGCAGGUCUAGAAAUGUUAUGCAAUAAAAAAAUUUAAUUCAAAAAAUGAAAGGGAACAAAAACUUUUGCUUAUCAUUUUACUCGGAGAAUGGCUGAAUUCAUUUGAGCGUGUACAGUUUUGUUUAUAAUUAGUGAAGAGAUGAAAAUAAUUAAACUGUAUGGUGCAGAAAGUGUUUUUUUCAUUACAGUUUCUGCUGCUGGGCAAGCGGUAGAUCACUAUACGGCUUCUGUAACGUGAAAUGAAGCUUAUGAUAAAUAAAAUACUGCUGCUUGCUGUUCACUGAUUCAAGAUCGUUCAGUGGCUACCAUUGACCAAUCUUACCAACGGGGUAUAAUAAGAACUGAUGCAGGUUUAUGCACCCGUAGCCAAGUAACAGCAAUGCGAGUUAAAAUGAGUUAAAAUCAAGUUUUAACUGAAUUAAAAUUAACUUGAAAAUAAAAAAAUUGUAAAACAAUUAAUUGUAUUGUAUUUUUAUUGUAAUAUUG